GGCACUCUAGAGUGACUGCCGGUGACAAACCGGAGGAAGGUGGGGAUGACGUCAAAUCAUCAUGCCCCUUAUGACCUGGGCUACACACGUACUACAAUGGCCGGUACAACGGGAAGCGAAGCCGCGAGGUGGAGCCAAUCCCAGCAAAGCCGGUCUCAGUUCGGAUUGCAGGCUGCAACUCGCCUGCAUGAAGUCGGAAUUGCUAGUAAUCGCGGAUCAGCAUGCCGCGGUGAAUACGUUCCCGGGUCUUGUACACACCGCCCGUCACACCACGAGAGUUUACAACACCCGAAGUCGGUGGGGUAACCCGCAAGGGAGCCAGCCGCCGAAGGUGGGGUAGAUGAUUGGGGUGAAGUCGUAACAAGGUAGCCGUAUCGGAAGGUGCGGCUGGAUCACCUCCUUU
rnacentral:rRNA from 1 species